CUAGCUGCGAGAAUUAAUGUGAAUUGCAGAACACAUUGAACACCGACACCUUGAACGCAAAUGGCGGCCUCGGGUCCGUCCCGAGGCCACGCCCGUCUGAGGGUCGGCU
rnacentral:rRNA from 1 species